UAAAACCCUAUGAUAGGGGAAAGUAAUUGAGCAGAGAUUUACAGAGAGUCGAUGGUUGCUGGGAAUCGAUAAUUUUUGCUUAACGAAUCCUCCCUUGAGGGGGCCACCGAAAUAUAGUAAGUGGCAUCGCUAACCUAGCGUUAACAGGUUUGAGUUGGAGUAUUAUUGCUCAACUAGGGUGGUAACGCGAGUAACCCUCGUCCCUAUA
rnacentral:ncRNA from 1 species